CGUCUAUAUACGUAUAGCAUAUCAAUAAGCGGAGGAAAAGAAACUAACAAGGAUUCCCUUAGUAACGGCGAGUGAAGCGGGAAGAGCUCAAAUUUGAAAUCUUCAAGGUUCUACCUCGACGAAUUGUAGUUUAAAGAAGUGUUUUCUGUUAGAGUUGAGUAGCAAAGUUCCUUGGAAUAGGACAUCAUAGAGGGUGAGAAUCCCGUAUUUGACCAUUAUUUUCUAGCUGUGUGAUACACUUUCAAAGAGUCGGAUUGUUUGGGAAUGCAGUCCAAAAUGGGUGGUAAAUUUCAUCUAAAGCUAAAUAUUGGCGAGAGACCGAUAGCGAACAAGUACCGUGAGGGAAAGAUGAAAAGAACUUUGAAAAGAGAGUUAAACAGUACGUGAAAUUGUCAAAAGGGAAGCGUUUGACACCAGUGUUGUUUUUCCGAAAAUCAAUUAAGAGUGGCUUGAUUUUGUGUUGUAUUGACCUUAUCAGCUUUCUUCACUCUUUUUCGAGUCUUUCUUAAUGCACUUUUCGGUUAACAAGUCAACAUCGAUUUCUUUUGUUGUAAAAGGGUAUUUGGAAGGUGGCUUUCUUUUCGGAGAAAGUGUUUAUAGCCUUAUACCUCUACAAUCGGAGAGAUUGAGGUCUGCAGCGUAGAUCCUUCGGGGCUAGAUACACUUGUGCUAAGUUAUAGCUUUUCAUAGACAACUUGUUGACUAUGUUUAGUCAUGUAGCUUACCCGCUUGUGCUAUUUUACCUACGCUUAGGAUGUUGAGUCAUCACACAUCUCU
rnacentral:rRNA from 1 species